GGCGGCGAGCGCGCGCGGCAACCGCCAAACGCCCGCCUUUGUAGCCCCGGCCCCGCGUCCUUACCCUGCCGACGGCUGCUCGGCUCCGGCCCGCGGCGGCGGCCCCAGAGCCGAGGACCGGGGUGGGCUCGCGCUCUUCGUCACUGGAGAAGUCCGGGGGCCCCUUGCUGUUGGUGCCGGCGGGGAGCGGCGGCCGGUUGCGAGCCGUGAGGUGCUGCAGGACCGAGGGGUCUUCCAGGAACUCCGGCAUCUCGGGGAUCUGCGAAGCCCCCUCCCCACAGCCUUUGCCGCCGCCGCUCACGCCGGCGCGCUUGCUCCUGGCCGGGGACCGCGCUGCCGCCUCCGAGCCUCACGGCUCCUGCCCGGGAAGAGCGCUGCGGAGCGGAACAAAAACUCGCGGACACAAAGCCAAGCCAGACCCGGACACAAAAGACCCCAGAGCCGAACUACGAACCAACUGCGGCCAAGCUGGAAGCUCGCACCAACCCCAGCCCACACACUACAGGCAGGAGGCGAGCAGCCUGCUUCGCCCACGCCCCAAGAACGCGCGCCGCCAUUGGCGGGCGACGGGAGGAAGCGCGGCGGUGAUUGGCGAGACGGCUCGCGCGGGUUCCAUUAGCCGCCGCGCUGAGCGAGAGGAGACGCCGAUAAGGGACAGGUCGUACUGCUUUUGUGCGCCGUUUCCUCUCCCUCCCCCAGCUUGAGAAGCAGCUUUCGUCUCUGGGGUCGAUCGCCUACGAACGCGCCGAAUUCCACGCCAGUGUGAGGACCCUUGGCUGGGCCUUUCUUCCUCCCGGGACACUGAAGCUCCAAGAGUAGCCGCAGCCUUGCCUUCCCCAAACGCUAGCCCUGAAGGGGAAGAAAAGAAGCGAGGCUUGUCUGCAGGCACUCAUAUUCCUUGAUUUGAUUUACUUUGGGAGGGGGAGGGCGGGGAGUUACCCCUCUCCUCGCGAACGCUUCUUUUGUUCCAGAAACCCAGGGGAAGCCAGACCUCUACAAUCGGGCACUUAAAUUACCCUUGAAUUUGUGACAAAAGUGUACUAUACCAUUCACUUCUUAGUGUCAUAGUUGGGGCAUGUCUAAAUUGUUUAAUUUGAACAGUGCGUUCAGACGCAAGACAAAUUCGCGCUUGCAUUUUUGUUGAAACCGUCUCUGGCUUUGGAUCCCACCACCCGCAAGAAUCCUAAACCUAACGUUUGAUAACAAAACGAAGGAGAACCCUUGGGAACCCCCUCAAUGGUCAAUUUAAAAUAACAGAUGGUGCAUAAUCCUAAAGGAAGACUAGUGACCUAUAAUUAGGCCUAGAACCCUAAUCAAACCCGUAUUACCGAUCCAAAUUAAAACCUGGUAGAAUCUAAUACAUUGACUGCAAUUAAAAUGUUUGCCUGGAAAUUAGUAUCACUGAUGACAAAUAUUUGUAUUUCUGAUGAAUAUGUAUGUUUAAAGAUGCUUUCUUUCUAGAAAGGAAAGGAGACCUUGGAUGUAGGGUGUGUUAAUCAUUUCCCCAGAAUCUGAGCUCCAAACUAUGUUUUAGAAACUGGUUAAAUUUUUUUUAAAUGUUUGCCUGCUUUCUACAUUGCUAGGUUAGAAUACAUUUAAAACAAACGCCUUCACUAAAAAUGUUUCCUAUGA
rnacentral:lncRNA from 1 species